rnacentral:rRNA from 1 species
UUUCGGUUCUAUUUUGUUGGUUUCUAGAACUGAAAUAAUGAUUAAUAGGGACAAUUGGGGGCAUUUGUAUCAACAAGUCAGAGGUGGAAUUCUUGGAUUUUGUUGCGACAAACUACUGCGAAAGCAUUUGCCAAGGAUGUUUUCAUUGAUCAAGAACGAAAGUUAGGGGAUCGAAGACACUUAGAUACCGUCGUAGUCUUAACCAUAAACUAUGCCAACUAGAGAUGGGACAUCGUUCACUUACGACUUGUUCCGCACCUUAUGAGAUAUCACAGUUUUUGGGUUCCGGGGGGAGUAUUGUCGCAAGUCAGAAACUUAAAGGAAUUGACGGAAGGGCACCACCAGGAGUGGAGCCUGCGGCUUAAUUUGACUCAACACGGGGAAACUCACCAGGUCCAGACAUAAUAAGGAUUGACAGAUUGAUAGCUCUUUCUUGAUUUUAUGGGUGGUGGUGCAUGGUCGUUCUUAGUUCGUGGAGUGAUUUGUCUGCUUAAUUGCGUUAACGAACGAGACCUUAACCUGCUAAAUAGAAUCGCAUAUCUUCGGAUAAGCGGCUUUCUUCUUAGAGGGACUGUCUGCGUUUCAGCAGGCGGAAGUUUGAGGCUAAAACAGGUCUGUGAUGCCCUUCGAUGUACUGGGCUGCACGCGCGCUACACUGAUGCGUUCAACGAGUGUACAACCUUGCCCGAUAGGGUUGGGUAACCUUUUGAACACGCAUCGUGCUGGGGAUAGAUUAUUGCAAUUA